rnacentral:rRNA from 1 species
GAUCCUGGCUUAGAUUGAACGCUGGCGGCGUGCUUAACACAUGCAAGUCGCGCGUGAAAGGACUUCGGUCUGAGUAAAGCGGCGCACGGGUGAGUAACGCGUGGAUGAUCUACCCAUGAGUUAGGAAUAACGGCUGGAAACGGUCGCUAAUACCAAAUACGCUCCGAUUUCAACUUCGGGGGGAAGGUGGCCUCUGCUUGCAAGCUACUGCUCAUGGAUGAGUCCGCGUCCCAUUAGCUAGUUGGUGGGGUAACGGCCCACCAAGGCGACGAUGGGUAGCCGGUCUGAGAGGAUGACCGGCCACACUGGGACUGGAACACGGCCCAGACUCCUACGGGAGGCAGCAGUGGGGAAUAUUGCGCAAUGGGCGAAAGCCUGACGCAGCGACGCCGCGUGAGGGAAUGAAGGUCCUCGGAUCGUAAACCUCUGUCAGGAGGGAAGAACCGCCACGGUGCUAAUCAGCCGUGGUCUGACGGUACCUCCAAAGGAAGCACCGGCUAACUCCGUGCCAGCCGCCGC